AUUGAACGCUGGCGGCAGGCUUAACACAUGCAAGUCGAGCGGAGUGAUGGUGCUUGCACUAUCACUUAGCGGCGGACGGGUGAGUAAUGCUUAGGAAUCUGCCUAUUAGUGGGGGACAACAUCUCGAAAGGGAUGCUAGUACCGCAUACGGCCUACGGGUGAAAGCAGGGGAUCCCUUGUGACCUUGCGCUAAUAGAUGAGCCUAAGUCGGAUUAGCUAGUUGGUGGGGUAGAGGCCUACCAAGGCGACGAUCUGUAGCGGGUCUGAGAGGAUGAUCCGCCACACUGGGACUGAGACACGGCCCAGACUCCUACGGGAGGCAGCAGUGGGGAAUAUUGGACAAUGGGGGGAACCCUGAUCCAGCCAUGCCGCGUGUGUGAAGAAGGCCUUAUGGUUGUAAAGCACUUUAAGCGAGGAGGAGGCUCUUUCGGUUAAUACCCAAGAUGAGUGGACGUUACUCGCAGAAUAAGCACCGGCUAACUCUGUGCCAGCAGCCGCCGUAA
rnacentral:rRNA from 1 species